rnacentral:misc_RNA from 1 species
GCCAAUCAAGCUGAAAGCUAUUUUUUGCAAAGAGUGCCUUGUCAAGGCUUUUGUUCUGAAGAUAUUCGUAGACCAACAGGCGUCUAUUUCCUUCAAUGCAACAUCCAUAUAAUUUGACAAGAUUGCGAUGUUGAACAGCAGAUAUGGUAGCGAUCUCAGUUAUAAAUUGACUAUUUCCUUGGCUUGAUUCUACUGAAAGUUGCUUCACCGCCACUUCUCUUCCAUCAAAAAGUGUACCCUUGUACACAGGUCCAAAUCCUCCCUCUCCUAACUUAUUUGAAGGGCUAAAGUCUUCUGUGGCUGUUCUCAAUUCAG